GACGAACGCUGGCGGCGUGCUUAACACAUGCAGGUCGAACGGAAAGGCCCUGCUUUUGUGGGGUGCUCGAGUGGCGAACGGGUGAGUAACACGUGAGUAACCUGCCCUUGACUUUGGGAUAACUUCAGGAAACUGGGGCUAAUACCGGAUAGGAUCUCCUGCUGCAUGGUGGGGGUUGGAAAGUUUCGGCGGUUGUGGAUGGACUCGCUGCUUAUCAGCUGGUUUGUGGGGUAGUGGCUUACCAAGGCUUUGACGGGUAGCCGGCCUGAGAGGGUGACCGGGCACAUGAGUACUGAGGUACGGAGCAGAAUGCUACGGGACGCAGCAGUGGGGAAUAUUGCACAAUGGGCGGAAGCGUGUUACAGCAACCCCGCGUGCGGGAUGCCGUGCUUCGGGUUGUGAACAGAUUUCGCAUGUGAUGAAGCGUGAGUGACGGUAAUGGGUAAAGAAGCACCGGCUAACUACGUG
rnacentral:rRNA from 1 species